AACUUAAGCAUAUCAAUAAGCGGAGGAAAAGAAACCAACAGGGAUUGCCUCAGUAACGGCGAGUGAAGCGGCAACAGCUCAAAUUUGAAAUCUGGCCUCGGCCCGAGUUGUAAUUUGUAGAGGAAGCUUUUGGUGCGGCACCGACCGAGUCCCCUGGAACGGGGCGCCAUAGAGGGUGAGAGCCCCGUAUGGUUGGACGCCUAUCCUCUGUAAAGCUCCUUCGACGAGUCGAGUAGUUUGGGAAUGCUGCUCAAAAUGGGAGGUAAAUUUCUUCUAAAGCUAAAUACUGGCCAGAGACCGAUAGCGCACAAGUAGAGUGAUCGAAAGAUGAAAAGCACUUUGAAAAGAGGGUUAAAUAGCACGUGAAAUUGUUGAAAGGGAAGCGCUUGUGACCAGACUUGCGCCUCGUCGAUCAUCCGGGGUUCUCCCCGGUGCACUCGGCGGGGCUCAGGCCAGCAUCGGUUUUCGCGGGGGGACAAAGGCACCGGGAACGUAGCUCCUCCGGGAGUGUUAUAGCCCGGGGCGUAAUGCCCUCGCGGGGACCGAGGACCGCGCUUCGGCAAGGAUGCUGGCGUAAUGGUCAUCAGCGACCCGUCUUGAAACACGGACCAAGGAGUCAAGGUUUUGCGCGAGUGUUUGGGUGUAAAACCCGCACGCGUAAUGAAAGUGAACGUAGGUGAGAGCUUCGGCGCAUCAUCGACCGAUCCUGAUGUAUUCGGAUGGAUUUGAGUAGGAGCGUUAAGCCUUGGACCCGAAAGAUGGUGAACUAUGCUUGGAUAGGGUGAAGCCAGAGGAAACUCUGGUGGAGGCUCGCAGCGGUUCUGACGUGCAAAUCGAUCGUCAAAUCUGAGCAUGGGGGCGAAAGACUAAUCGAACCAUCUAGUAGCUGGUUACCGCCGAAG
rnacentral:rRNA from 1 species